UGAUUGUGACAGUAUUUACAAAUAGCAACCCAUGUGACCUUACUCUUGGCUAGUCAACCGGUAAAGUUAUUGUGCAAGAUAUAUAAUAUACUGAUAGACGGAUUAACGAGGACGAACUUCAUUUUUAGAGCGAUCGUAGUUGAAUAACAACCUAGAAAAUGUUGCGACUAGCAUUACUAUCAGUCUGUGCCUUGUAUGUAUUGAGCUACGCACCUUCGGUUAAUUGUGGUUGCUGCACGCCUGAACAAUGGGAGGGCACCGAAGGAUUAAUUGGAGGUUACUAUCGGUGGGGUAGACCAUCACUCAUUUCCGGUGGUUCCAGGGUGGCUUAUGACGGAAUGGGAAAACGAGUUGCAGCUGUAAGCAACAUACAGACAAAGCGAGGACGGUAUGCUGUGCGAGUCAUUGAAAAUUACUCAGAGCGCACUUUGUACAUGAUCAAUCUUUCAAAAAAAAAAUGCAGAAAACUACCCUUAAAAAGAGAGUUCCGUAAAGCUUGUAUUCCAGAUGAUGCCAAAUUGGUGGCAGAAACAUACAUAGGUGCAGGAGACAACACAUUGGGCACAUCCAGCUAUGCUUUAAGAAUGGUCGACAAGAAAAAGCGAGUUCUGUUGGAUGCCUUCGUUAGUGUUACUACAGACGGCUGCAUCCCAAUAAGUGAAACACUAACAGGAAGUGUUAAGAGAGUCUCUUUCUUGGAUAUCAUCGGUUUUGUUAACGUAACGGCCGGAAUUGAAGACGAAAAGGUGUUCGAUCCACCAAGCUACUGUGAUGACGAGGCUACGGAUGAUUUUGAGAUUCAAGAAACACAGUUAUACAGAGAGUUCAGAAUUUUUGGAAUGUGAGUCUUGAAAGAAAUACAGUCUCCUACACAUUACACAUCUAACAGCUUAUAUAUGUAGAAUUGCCAGUGUACAUGUGAGCUACGUGUUCUUUCCAAUAUAGAUCUAUUUUUUUUAUAUUUCAUGCACGUAUAUAUAUUUUAGAAAGUAUAGGCCUAUUUGCAUUUUAUGUAUAUCAAAUUAAAUCUCACAAUUUCAAGAAUCAUAAAUAACCAGAUCUGAGAAAAUAGUAGGCUACUAAGCUUAUUUUGUGCUCAUAAUUCCAUUGUUGUACGUGUUUAUUUUUUCUUUUGUACCUUAAUAUGUUCAGUGAUAGUUCUCUUUUGUUUUCAAAUAAAAUAUAUUUUUAACAGUAGAA